rnacentral:rRNA from 1 species
UACGGAGGAUCCAAGCGUUAUCCGGAUUUAUUGGGCUUAAAGGGUGCGUAGGCGGCUCAUUAAGUCAGGGGUGAAAGACGGUAGCUUAACUAUCGCAGUGCCUUUGAUACUGAUGAGCUUGAAUGUAGUUGAGGUAGGCGGAAUGUGACAAGUAGCGGUGAAAUGCAUAGAUAUGUCACAGAACACCAAUUGCGAAGGCAGCUUACUAAAGUAAGAUUGACGCUGAGGCACGAAAGCGUGGGGAUCAAACAGG